rnacentral:rRNA from 1 species
CUACGGGACGCAGCAGUGGGGAAUAUUGCGCAAUGGGGGAAACCCUGACGCAGCAACGCCGCGUGAAGGACGAAGGUUUUCGGAUCGUAAACUUCUUUGAUUGGGGAAGAAUAAAUGACGGUACCCAAAAAACAAGCCACGGCUAACUACGUGCCAGCAGCCGCGGUAAUACGUAGGUGGCAAGCGUUGUCCGGAUUUACUGGGUGUAAAGGGCGUGUAGGCGGGGAGACAAGUCAGAUGUGAAAUACCACGGCUCAACCGUGGGGGUGCAUCUGAAACUGUUUCUCUUGAGUGCUGGAGAGGAAAGCGGAAUUCCUAGUGUAGCGGUGAAAUGCGUAGAUAUUAGGAGGAACACCAGUGGCGAAGGCGGCUUUCUGGACAGUAACUGACGCUGAGGCGCGAAAGCGUGGGGAGCAAACAGGAUUAGAUACCCUCGUAGUC